GCGUAAGCGCGCGCAGGUGGUUUCUUAAGUCUGAUGUGAAAGCCCACGGCUCAACCGUGGAGGGUCAUUGGAAACUGGGAGACUUGAGUGCAGAAGAGGAAAGUGGAAUUCCAUGUGUAGCGGUGAAAUGCGUAGAGAUAUGGAGGAACACCAGUGGCGAAGGCGACUUUCUGGUCUGUAACUGACACUGAGGCGCGAAAGCGUGGGGAGCAAACAGGAUUAGAUACCCUGGUAGUCCACGCCGUAAACGAUGAGUGCUAAGUGUUAGAGGGUUUCCGCCCUUUAGUGCUGAAGUUAACGCAUUAAGCACUCCGCCUGGGGAGUACGGCCGCAAGGCUGAAACUCAAAGGAAUUGACGGGGGCCCGCACACGCGGUGGAGCAUGUGGUUUAAUUCAAAGCAACGCGAAGAACCUUACCAGGUCUUGACAUCCUCUGAAAAGGGGGAGAUAGGGCUUCUCCUUCGGGAGCACAGUGACAGGUGGUGCAUGGUUGUCG
rnacentral:rRNA from 1 species